AAGGCCGUAGCGCAGAGGUCGUCGCGCCCGCUCGUCAAGACGGAGGACGCCGGUUCGAAUCCGGCCGGUCUUG
rnacentral:tRNA from 1 species